rnacentral:rRNA from 1 species
UACGUAGGGUGCAAGCGUUUGUCCGGAAUUAUUGGGCGUAAAGAGCUCGUAGGCGGUGUGUCACGUCGGCCGUGAAAACCUGCAGUAUACUGUGGGCGUGCGGUCGAUACGGGCAUCACUGGAGUUCGGCAGGGGAGACUGGAAUUCCUGGUGUAGAGGUGAAAUGCGCAGAUAUCAGGAGGAACACCAAUGGCGAAGGCAGCUCGCUGGGACGUGACUGACGCUGAGACGCGAAAGCGUGGGGAGCGAACAGG